rnacentral:rRNA from 1 species
GCGGAUGACGGGAGCUUGCUCCUUGAUUCAGCGGCGGACGGGUGAGUAAUGCCUAGGAAUCUGCCUGGUAGUGGGGGACAACGUUUCGAAAGGAACGCUAAUACCGCAUACGUCCUACGGGAGAAAGCAGGGGACCUUCGGGCCUUGCGCUAUCAGAUGAGCCUAGGUCGGAUUAGCUAGUUGGUGAGGUAAUGGCUCACCAAGGCGACGAUCCGUAACUGGUCUGAGAGGAUGAUCAGUCACACUGGAACUGAGACACGGUCCAGACUCCUACGGGAGGCAGCAGUGGGGAAUAUUGGACAAUGGGCGAAAGCCUGAUCCAGCCAUGCCGCGUGUGUGAAGAAGGUCUUCGGAUUGUAAAGCACUUUAAGUUGGGAGGAAGGGCAGUAAGCUAAUACCUUGCUGUUUUGACGUUACCGACAGAAUAAGCACCGGCUAACUCUGUGCCAGCAGCCGCGGUAAUACAGAGGGUGCAAGCGUUAAUCGGAAUUACUGGGCGUAAAGCGCGCGUAGGUGGUUCGUUA